rnacentral:misc_RNA from 1 species
GAUGAAGAACGUAGUGAAAUGCGAUAAGUAAUGUGAAUUGCAGAAUUCAGUGAAUCAUCGAGUUUUUGAACGCAUAUUGCGCCCUCUGGUAUUCCGGGGGGCAUGCCUGUUCGAGCGUCAUUAAAUAACCCUCAAGCAUAGCUUGGUGUUGGGCUUUUUUACGUCCUUGACUGGGAUGGGCCUAAAAAUUAGUGGCGAUGGCUUUUUUACUUUCAAGCGUAGUAAAUCUCGUCUUGCUAAAGAGGAAAAAGAUUUUUUUUUCUGCCAAAAAUUUUAACAUUUAAAGUUGACCUCGGAUCAGGUAGGAUUACCCGCUGAACUUAAGCAUAUCAAUAAGCGGAGGA